rnacentral:rRNA from 1 species
UACAGAGGGUGCGAGCGUUAAUCGGAAUCACUGGGCUUAAAGCGUGUGUAGGCGGAUGCCUAAGUACCUUGUGAAAUCCCACGGCUCACCCGUGGAACUGCUCGGUAUACUGGGUGUCUUGAGCCACUUAGGGGCUACCGGAACAAAUGGUGGAGCGGUGAAAUGCGUAGAUAUCAUUUGGAACGCCAAUGGUGAAAACAGGUAGCUGGGAGUGUGCUGACGCUGAGACACGAAAGCCAGGGGAGCAAACGGG